UUCUCGCUUUGCUCUGCUACUGGGGUAGGAUCCGAGGCUCUAUAAAGGUUUACAUAGACUCUCCUACUCAACUCCUAUUCUGUCACGUCGUGUAGAGUGGUAACUUGCUCCACUGUAUAUCCAAGCUUUGGUAAACGGUCACCCAACCCCUAGGGCACCCCUGUAUAUGGUGGAGCACGGCUGAGCAGGAGGGU
rnacentral:ribozyme from 1 species